GGGCGCGUAGCUCAGUUGGUAGAGCAGCUGACUCUUAAUCAGCGGGUCUACGGUUCGAUCCCGUACGCGCCCACCA
rnacentral:tRNA from 2 species